GUCGCUGCACCAAACACCCACACGGGGGUACCGGGUACGGGACAUCCCGGCCCUUCCUUUCCUUCUCGCGCGCGACCAAAUAACUCCUCACUAAAACCCUAGGGCUCCCGGCCGCCACUGCCUACGCCGUCGCCAUGGAGACCCUCAAGCGCAAGGCCGUGGACAGCCCCGGAGACGCCUACCAGGCCUCUUCUCUCAAGCCGCCGCUCGCCGCCGCCGCCGUGGAGCCUCGCGCUCCGACCACCCUCGCGGCCGCCGAACCAGUCGCUUGCGUGCACGACGUCUCCUACCCCGAGGGCUACGACCCAUCCGCCUCUACGUCCCGCGCCAUUGCCGGCGGAGCUGAUGCCUCUGAGCCAGCAAAGAAGUUUCCUUUCCAGCUCGACCCCUUCCAGGCCGAGGCCAUACGCUGCCUCGACAAUGGUGAAUCCGUCAUGGUUUCAGCUCAUACGUCAGCGGGAAAGACAGUAGUCGCGUUGUAUGCAAUAGCGAUGUCUUUGCGCAACCAACAGCGGGUCAUUUAUACAUCUCCAAUCAAGGCACUGAGCAACCAAAAGUACAGGGAGUUCAAAGAAGAGUUCUCUGAUGUUGGUCUCAUGACUGGGGAUGUCACAAUUGAGCCGAAUGCCUCCUGUCUGGUCAUGACCACAGAAAUUUGGCGGAGCAUGCAAUACAAGGGAUCUGAGGUCAUGAGGGAAGUUGCCUGGGUUAUAUUUGAUGAGGUGCAUUACAUGCGGGAUAGAGAGAGAGGAGUGGUUUGGGAGGAGAGUAUAGUGAUGGCUCCCAAGAAUUCACGCUUUGUCUUCCUCUCGGCAACUGUACCUAAUGCCAAGGAGUUCGCUGAUUGGGUAGCUAAGGUACAUAAGCAACCCUGUCAUAUAGUAUACACCGACUAUAGACCUACACCUCUUCAGCACUAUGUAUUUCCUUCUGGAGGGGACGGAUUAUACCUUGUAGUGGAUGAGAAGGGCAAGUUCAGAGAGGACAGUUUUCAGAAAGCAUUGAACGCCCUUGUCCCUGCUAGCGACAGUGCCAAGAAGAAGGAAAAUGGGAAGCGGCAGAAAUUUACCAUGGCAGGUACAUCUAGUGAGGAAAGUGACAUAUUCAAGAUGGUGAAGAUGAUAAUUCAGCGCCAAUAUGAUCCUGUAAUACUUUUUAGCUUUAGCAAAAGGGAAUGCGAAUUUCUUGCUAUGCAGAUGGCUAAGAUGGACUUGAAUGAGGAUGAUGAGAAGGCAAACAUCGAAACAAUUUUUUGGAGUGCUAUGGAUAUGCUUUCUGAUGAUGACAAAAAGCUUCCUCAGGUUUCAAACAUGCUCCCCUUACUGAAACGCGGCAUUGGCGUGCAUCAUUCUGGUCUGUUGCCUAUUUUAAAGGAAGUCAUUGAGAUACUCUUUCAGGAGGGCCUCAUCAAGUGUUUGUUUGCCACAGAAACAUUCAGUAUUGGUUUGAACAUGCCUGCAAAGACUGUUGUGUUUACCAAUGUGCGAAAAUUUGACGGAGACCGAUUCAGAUGGUUGUCGAGUGGAGAGUACAUCCAAAUGAGUGGCCGUGCUGGUCGUCGAGGUAUUGAUCUGCGUGGUAUCUGUAUACUGAUGGUAGACGAGAAAAUGGAACCUUCAACUGCCAAAAUGAUGCUGAAAGGAAGUGCAGAUAGUUUGAACAGUGCCUUUCAUCUGAGCUACAAUAUGCUGUUAAAUCAAAUGCGAUCUGAGGAUGGGGAUCCAGAAAAGCUCCUCCGGCAUUCAUUUUAUCAAUUUCAGGCUGACCGUUCUCUUCCUGAUCUUGAGAAGCAAAUCAAGGAACUGGAAUCAGAGAGAAAUUCCAUGGUAAUUGAGGAAGCGGAGAGCUUGAAGGAUUAUUACGAUCUCUUACAGCAGCACAGGAGUUUAAAGAAGGAUGUCCAUGAUAUUGUUCUCUCUCCCAAACAUGUGCUGCCUUUCUUGCAACCUGGAAGGCUUGUCCGCAUUGAAUAUAGUACAGAUGAGCCAGCUAACUUUUCCAUUGAUGAAAAUGUCACAUGGGGAAUUAUAAUUAACUUCGAAAAAGUGAAGUCACAUGGUGAAGAUAAGAGGCCUGAGGAUUCUGAUUACACGGUUGAUGUCCUUACCAGAUGUUCUGUAACUAAGGACAACAGUGGUAAGAAAACAAUGAAGGUUGUUCCUCUGAAAGCGCGUGGAGAACCAGUUGUAGUUUCAUUGUCACUUUCACAGAUUGAUGGACUAAGCAGCAUACGGAUGUACAUACCUAAGGAUCUUAUACCUGUAGAAGUUCGAGAAAACACCUUGAGGAAAGUUGAAGAAGUCCUUUUAAGGUUUGCUAAAGAUGGUGUGCCUCUAUUGGAUCCAGAAGAAGAUAUGAAAGUACAAUCGAAAUCAUUUCGGAAAGCUACCAGACGAAUAGAAGCUCUUGAGAGCUUGUUUGAGAAGCACGAUAUCCGUAACUCUCCACAUAUCCAGCAAAAGCUGAAAGUCUUUCAUGCUAAGCAAGAACUAUCAGCCAAAAUAAAGUCCAUAAAGAAAACAAUGCGGUCUUCCACCGCUUUAGCUUUCAAGGAUGAACUCAAGGCCCGGAAACGUGUUCUUCGCAGGCUGGGGUAUUGCAUUUUAUUCUGACAUAAAUUGAUUCUUUGCCAGGUUUUGCUGGUUUGGUACUUUUAAGAUGAAGUGCCCUACUUACAUAUAUAAUCCCCGACCUGCUAAAAAUGUAUGUUACGAGUGAUGAUGUUGUGGAAGUUAAGGGCAAAGUGGCGUGUGAGAUAAGUUCAGCUGAUGAGCUUACAUUGACAGAGCUUAUGUUUAGUGGUGCUCUGAAGGAUGCUACAGUAGAGCAGGUGGUGGCACUGCUCUCUUGCUUUGUUUGGCAGGAGAAGCUCCAGGAUGCUCCGAAGCCAAGAGAGGAGCUCGAUUUGCUCUUCUACCAGCUGCAGGAGACAGCAAGAAGGGUUGCUAACCUUCAGCUUGAAUGCAAGAUCCAGAUCGAUGUGGAAAGUUUUGUGAAUUCUUUCCGACCCGACAUAAUGGAAGCGGUGUAUUCAUGGGCCAGAGGGUCGAAGUUCUACCAAAUCAUGGAGAUGACCCAAGUGUUCGAAGGAAGCCUGAUCAGGGCCAUCAGGAGGCUGGAGGAGGUUCUGCAGCAGCUGAUUCUGGCAUCCAAGUCCAUUGGGGAAACGGAGUUAGAAGCAAAACUCGAGGAGGCGGUCAACAAGAUCAAGAGGGACAUAGUGUUUGCAGCAUCUUUAUACUUGUAGUGUCUUGGAUGUCUGGUUUUAUGUCAGGGGCUAGGUCAAAAGCUCAUAGGGAUUUAAAUUAAUCUUAAAUUGCUGUUCAUGUUGAGUGUUGUUGGCAUGAUGAAGCUGUCUGAUUUGCUGUUAGCGGUGACAUGGCAGUGAAAGUUUUGUUAGGUUUCUUCACCGUGUAGGGUCUAUUUGACAUUCAAGAAUUUUGUAGGAAGCAAUACAAUUCUGGCAGACCUCACAUUAACAGCCUUAGCAUGUACGAUAGAUAGCUAUUUAUCUCAUCUGUCAGGAAUAGCCCAGAGAUACUGCGUGUUUGUGGAGUAUAAGCAGUGUAAGUUAAGUGAUCGUGCUUGUGUUUGUAAGUGCAGUUCAAAGCAAGUCGGCCGAUGGAGAUGUCCCUGGAUGAAAACUUGUAGUAUUUGUCUUGCACUCUUGCUUGUUUGAAUGUUAUUGGCCGGCUGAUGGUCACGUGCAUGCAUGCGUGAA